rnacentral:snRNA from 1 species
GAAUGUGAGGGUAAGAGGAUGUGGCAUCUGUCCCCCUGUUGAUUGUCAGCUGUGACUGGGCUCAAGUAGCUGCUGGGUAGGUCUUCCUUUCACUCUCAGUGCUCCAUAGGCAUCCUCCCUGAGGUUGUGUGCUCCAUGGACAAGGAAGACCUUCCCCACAAAAGGAGGAGCAGUCAGUGUAUGAACGCUGCACCCCCUUCUUCUCCCACAAGCAACAGUAAAUGUGUGAGGCAAUGUCUACAUUACAUAUUUGGUUUGGUCAUUACAUAACAUACAUACACCAAAAUCCUCACUCUAUACUUGAUGAACAGGUUUAAUAAUCA